rnacentral:rRNA from 1 species
AUUGAACGCUGGCGGCAGGCUCAACACAUGCAAGUCGAGCGGGGGAAGGUAGCUUGCUACCGGACCUAGCGGCGGACGGGUGAGUAAUGCUUAGGAAUCUGCCUAUUAGUGGGGGACAACAUCUCGAAAGGGAUGCUAAUACCGCAUACGUCCUACGGGAGAGAGCAGGGGAUCUUCGGACCUUGCGCUAAUAGAUGAGCCUAAGUCGGAUUAGCUAGUUGGUGGGGUAAAGGCCUACCAAGGCGACGAUCUGUAGCGGGUCGGAGAGGAUGAUCCGCCACACUGGGACGGAGACACGGCCCAGACUCCUACGGGAGGCAGCAGUGGGGAAUAUUGGACAAUGGGGGGAACCCUGAUCCAGCCAUGCCGCGUGUGUGAAGAAGGCCUUAUGGUUGUAAAGCACUUUAAGCGAGGAGGAGGCUACUUUAGUUAAUACCUAGAGAUAGUGGACGUUACUCGCAGAAUAAGCACCGGCUAACUCUGUGCCAGCCGCCGCCGUAACAC